CCUCAGGCUUUCCUGGUGACCACUAACCAAUAGGAAGCGCUGAAACAACCCCUGUGUGGGUGAGCGUGUGGUCCCGGGCCCAAGUGCCGAGCGUAGGCCGGCUAGCGCGAGGCGUGGAGUUGAGAAGACAGUUAUUCUGCCUAGGAUGCCAAGAGGGUUCUCUGCGCCCAGGAGUGCCACGCCUGCCCGAUUUUCCGCGGUUUUUAAGGAGUAGCGCUUCGGUAGCCGGGAAACUGGAGGAAACCUGAUUUGAAAUCAGUUCUUGGAGAACACAAAGAAGUGUGGUGAU
rnacentral:lncRNA from 1 species